CCCCGCAAACGAAGUUUAGGGGGGGUAUAUUGGAAUCACCAUGUCCGUCUGUCUGUCCGUCUGUCUGUCUGUUCUUACGAGAGGUACAUUGUGGGGUAAAAUUAACGUAUUUUCCAGCAGUGUGGGGUUUUUUGGGUACUGUGGGGUUAACCCCAUAAUGAAGAGGUCUAAUUACGUUCAAAAUUACUCUAUGAGGUCGAAAAACCUAAAAUUAGAUUUAACCUCACAAAGACUUUGUCCAAAUUUUGGACAUGUCCUUAGCCCAAAACGCUCAGACAUUCAGAAAUCUGCUGUUUAGAGGAGUUCGGUAAUUGAAUCGAGGAGUUCCGAAUACCUGAGCAUGCGCAUAUAUUUAAAACUAACUGCGCAUGCGCAGAAUACGGAAGUAGCUGUGUGGACAUUUUGUAUUAGCAGUGAGGAAAUUCGGAAACACAAAAAGCAAAUGCAAGUUCAGAUACUGAAAGUGAACAUCAGUGGAACUUUGAUGAUCUAGGCCGCUCUAUUUUUGCAGCAACACCAGCAGGCGUCGGACAUUCAUAAAGUUGAAAGAACAGACCUAUGACUUGAACACACAAUUUGUGAUCUGAAUAUAGUUCACAAAUUUAAGGAAAGCAACUAUCAAAGACAUCCAGAUUGAUGGUAUACAUGAAGUAUGAAUGAAAGACUUUUCAGAAGAACAAGCACAAUCCCGAUUCAUUCUUGCCAUUGUCUGCUCCAGACGGCGACAUUUAGGACCUGACUUACUUUUCAGAAAAAGAAGAUGAAUCGAUUUUUGAUAGUUGAUCUUAAAAAGAUAACAUUUUCAGGGGUCGUGGAUUGAAUGACAUUUUCUUGCAAUCUCCCAUGCAGAGUUGUCGUUCGUUCCUCUCUCAGACACAUGCAGAGUUGUCGUUCGUUCCUCUCUCAGACACCUCUGCAAUGGGCUCACGUCAAGAUUUUUGACAUAACGUAUAAAACUUGAUAUUUGAAGAAUUGUUUCAAUUCAAAUCAAUAGUUCUGGAUUGAUUUAGUAAAUAUCUAUCUCAAAAUUCAGACAUAAACAUAGAAAUUGAAUUGUAAUGAAUUAAAACAAACGCACUAUUUCUCAUGUUUAAAACUGUGUAUACGCGAGCCAACGACAGAGGUGAAUGUAUGAGCCGAUGGUAGAGAGUGAUUUUCUUGAUGGGCAACUAGUUUCAAGUAUUUGGAUGUCUAUUCUCAAGUUACUGCAAACCUUAAAUUAACUUCUUGAUUAUUAGUUAAAUGUGAGACCGUUUCUUACUUGAAGUAAUCAUUUUUUGAAUUGAGCUAUGUAAUCUCUGAUUACUUAUGUUUAUGAAUACUGUUCAGCUUUAAGACAAAAGGAUCUUUUAUGAACAUUGCAUUCGUCAUGGUGAAUUUCUAUACAUUAAGUAACAGUCAUAGUUUUCGUCUUUUUUAAUUAGCGAUCUCAUUUUAAAUGUGAGAAAUAAUUAUUAAACUGAAAUGUUUAUUUAUGUUGUUUGAUUUUUAUUUUUUUGAAAAUUGUAAAUCAAUUGCAUGUUGUUGUUUUUUUUUCAUUUUAUUUUAGGGGAUGGGAGUGAGGGUGCAGCUGUUAAGUUUGAGUAUAUUUUCCAAAAGGAUGUACAUCGUUAUUUUUGUUUAAAUAUCAAUUUUAAAAUGCAAAAUGAUGAGAUAUUAGACUACACAUUUUUUCUUAAAACUUCAUUUAAAUUAAUAUAUUUUGUUUAAAAUAAGUAGCAACACCAUGCAAGUUUUAGAGUUAUUUGACAACUCACUAUAUACUUGUUUUUUUUUUACAUUUAUGAAGAUUGUCUCAAAUUUUGAGGGUUUUUUUCUGUGUUCUACAUUUAUUGACAUGUUUCUUAUCUGUGUUCAUCUU